rnacentral:rRNA from 1 species
UACGUAGGGUGCGAGCGUUUGUCCGGAAUCAUUGGGCGUAAAAGCGCGUGUAGGCGGCUCGACAAGUCCGCUGUGAAAGUCCAGGGCUCAACCCUGGGAUGCCGGUGGAUACUGUCGAGCUUGAGUCCGGAAGAGGCGAGUGGAAUUCCUGGUGUAGCGGUGAAAUGCGCAGAUAUCAGGAGGAACACCAAUGGCGAAGGCAGCUCGCUGGGACGUGACUGACGCUGAGACGCGAAAGCGUGGGGGAGCAAACAGG